UCAUACUGUUCUUAAAUAAUUUGGCCCUUCAGUCAUGAUUGUACCUUGUGACCCUCCCAAUGCAAAUCUAAAGAAUCCUGUAUGUUUGCUUAGUAUUUAUGUGCUUCUGACUGGAUCUGGAGCGUUAGCUACAUCACCACUUUCAAGAUGAAGAAUGUACUCUGCUUACUGCUGCUCUCAUUCAGCAUAUACCGUAUAAAAUGUCAAAAAAUGGAGUCCAUUGAAAGCACGGUUCAGAAAAAGCCUGGAGAAACUCUGACUCUGUCCUGUAGAGGAUCUGGGUUCAGCUUUGACUGCUGUAGCAUGCACUGGAUCAGACAACAAGCUGGAAAACCUCUUGUGUGGAUUGGACGUGUUUAUAGUGAUGGCAGUGGAAAUGACUACGCAGAAUCCUUCAAUAGACGAACUGAAAUCACUAGAGAUAAUUCAAAGAAUAUGGUCCAUCUGAAACUGUCGGGCCUGACAACAGAAGACUCAGCCACAUAUUACUGUGCAAAACAAACACAGUGACACAAAGUUAUUGCACGGCUGAACAAAAAACACUUUGAGUGUUUCAUCUCUUGUCUAGUUCAACAGGUGGCAGCAGAGAAUAAAAAAUCCUGAAAAUACAGACUAAUGAGAAGAUAUACCAU